GAAAGUCGGAGGUUAGACUCCUCCCUACUGC
rnacentral:tRNA from 1 species